GACGAACGCUGGCGGCGUGCUUAACACAUGCAAGUCGAACGGAAAGGCCCUGCUUUUGUGGGGUGCUCGAGUGGCGAACGGGUGAGUAACACGUGAGUAACCUGCCCUUGACUUUGGGAUAACUUCAGGAAACUGGGGCUAAUACCGGAUAGGAGCUCCUGCUGCAUGGUGGGGGUUGGAAAGUUUCGGCGGUUGGGGAUGGACUCGCGGCUUAUCAGCUUGUUGGUGGGGUAGUGGCUUACCAAGGCUUUGACGGGUAGCCGGCCUGAGAGGGUGACCGGGCACAUUGGGGAGGAGAUACCGCCCCGACUCCUACGGGGGGGAAAGGGGGGGAAUAUUGGAAAAAGGGGGGAAGCCCGAGGGAGCAAAGCCGCGGGGGGGAAGAAGGCCUUUGGGGUGGAAAACGCUUUUGCCCGGGAAGGAGGGGGAGUGGAGGGAAAGGGUAAAGAAGCAACGGCUAAAUAAGUG
rnacentral:rRNA from 1 species